CUACGGGAGGCAGCAGUGAGGAAUAUUGGACAAUGGUCGAAAGACUGAUCCAGCCAUGCCGCGUGCAGGAUGAAUGCCCUAUGGGUUGUAAACUGCUUUUAUACGGGAAGAACACCACCCACGUGUGGGUGACUGACGGUACCGUAAGAAUAAGGACCGGCUAACUCCGUGCCAGCAGCCGCGGUAAUACGGAGGGUCCAAGCGUUAUCCGGAAUCAUUGGGUUUAAAGGGUCCGUAGGCGGGCUAUUAAGUCAGAGGUGAGAGUUUGCAGCUCAACUGUAAAAUUGCCUUUGAUACUGGUAGUCUUGAGUUAUAGUGAAGUGGUUAGAAUAUGUGGUGUAGCGGUGAAAUGCAUAGAUAUCACAUAGAAUACCAAUUGCGAAGGCAGAUCACUAACUAUAUACUGACGCUGAUGGACGAAAGCGUGGGGAGCGAACGGGAUUAGAUACCCCUGUAGUC
rnacentral:rRNA from 1 species